GAUGAAGAACGUAGCGAAAUGCGAUAAGUAAUGUGAAUUGCAGAAUUCAGUGAAUCAUCGAAUCUUUGAACGCAUCUUGCGCUCCUUGGUAUUCCUUGGAGCAUGCCUGUUUGAGUAUCAUGAGCAAACCUCAAAGUCAAUUCCUUUUGUUAAUUCAAUUGGUUUUGCUUUGGACUUGGAGGUCUUGCAGAUUUCACAGUCUGCUCCUCUUAAAUGCAUUAGCUGGAUCUCAGUAAUUAUGCUUGGUUCCACUCGGCGCGAUAAGUAUCACUCGCUGAGGACACUGUUAAAAAGGUGCCCAGGAAAAUACUGAUUGAACCGCUUCUAACGGUCUAUUAAGUUAGACAAUUACCCUUAAGUUUGAUCUCAAAUCAGGUAGGACUACCCGCUGAACUUAAGCAUAUCAAUAAGCGGAGGA
rnacentral:misc_RNA from 1 species